rnacentral:lncRNA from 1 species
CUAGGUGUUAGUCUCUACUGUACAGCAAAGUUAAUCAGCUAUACAUAUACAUAUAUCACUUCUCUUUUGGCUUCCUUCCCAUUCAGAUCAUCACAGUACAUUAAGUAGAGUUCCCUGUUCUAUAUUGUAUAGGUGUAUUCUUGUGAUCAUGGCAACAAGGAGAGGAAACAGAGACAGGAAGGAGUGUUUUCAAGCUUCUGCCUGUGACACAGCUAUUAACAUGACAUUGGUCAAGGCAAGUCCACAUGGCUAAAUUCAGAAUCAAGAGGUAGUGAAAUGUACUGUACAAGUUCAAAGAGCAAAUGGAGGUGUGAUCUAAGAGCUGUAGUGGAUCUUGAGCUAUGUUGUGGUUCCAGGAAGAAGUUACAAGGAAUAAACUGCUUUCCUUCAAGGCUUGCCCUUCUACCUCACUCACAGAGUGAGUGCUUCACAAAGACACACAUGAAGAGCCUGCAAAAAAGUGAGAACUGCCUCACCAGCCAGGUAAAUCUCAGAGAUAUUAUGGGUUCGAUUACAGACCACUAUAAUAAAGUGAAUCACAUGAAUAUUUGGUUUCCCA